rnacentral:rRNA from 1 species
AGAGUUUGAUCAUGGCUCAGGACGAACGCUGGCGGCGUGCUUAACACAUGCAAGUCGAGCGGAAAGGCCCUUUCGGGGGUACUCGAGCGGCGAACGGGUGAGUAACACGUGAGUAAUCUGCCCUUGGCUUUGGGAUAACCACCGGAAACGGUGGCUAAUACCGGAUAUGACGGGCUCCGGGCAUCGGGUUCGUGGAAAGUUUUUCGGCCAGGGAUGUGCUCGCGGCCUAUCAGCUUGUUGGUGGGGUAAUGGCCUACCAAGGCUUCGACGGUAGCCGGCCUGAGAGGGUGACCGGCCACACUGGGACUGAGACACGGCCCAGACUCCUACGGGAGGCAGCAGUGGGGAAUAUUGGACAAUGGGCGGAAGCCUGAUCCAGCAACGCCGCGUGAGGGAUGACGGCCUUCGGGUUGUAAACCUCUUUCAGUACCGACGAAGCGCCGAUGAUGGUGGUGACGGUAGGUACAGAAGAAGCACCGGCCAACUACGUG